rnacentral:rRNA from 1 species
AUUUUUAAUACGGCCUCACCAAGGUUGGGCGCUCGAACGCAAUGCAAGGAGAUUUCGCAUGAUGCACACCCAAACGCAAUGCAAGGCAAGUUCGCAACAUGGGUACCCAAAUGCAUGAAGCGCUGUAAUGAAACAGACCAGGAUCCUGGCCAGGGUUGGGCGACCAAGGGCAAGGAAAGACGAGUUGGCAAGAGGGGCACCCAAACAUAAUGCAAGGCCAGUUGGCAAGAUGGGAGCCCAAAUGCAUGAAGAGCUGUAACGAAACAAAUGAAUGACCGUAACAAAAUGCACGAUGAACUGUAAUGAAAUGCACAAAGAGCCGUAAUGAAAAUGACCACACAAGGGAGCACUGGGAAAAAAGACGAGCCGAAGGACGGAUAAGAACCAAUUUUGGCUUGGAGGGAUAUUUUUUAAUAUGGCCUCACCAAGGUUGGGUGCCCAAAUGCAACGCAAGGCGAGUUCGCAAGAUGGGUGCCCAAACGCAACGCAAGGUGAGUUCGCAACAUGGGCAUUCAAACGCACGAAGAGCUCCAAUGAAACACACCAAGAGCCUGGCCAAGGUUGGGCGACCAAGGACAAGGCAAGACAAGUUAGCAGGAGGGGCAACCAAAUGCAAUGCAAGGCCAGUUGGUAAGAUGGGAGCCCAAAUGCACAAAGAGCCAUAACGAAAUGUACGAAUGACCGUAACGAAACACCCGAUGAGACGUAACGAAAUGCACGAAGAGACGUAACAAAAACGACCACACAAGGGAGCACUGGGAAAAAAGACAAGCCGAAGGACAGAUAAGAACCAAUUUUGGCUUGGAGGUAUAUUUUUUAAUACGGCCUCACCAAGGUUGGGCACCCGAACACAACGCAAGGCGAGUUCGCAAGAUGGGUGCCCAAAUGCAAUGCAAGGAGAGUUCGCAAGAUGGGCGCCCAAAUGCAUGAACAACACGGGCAAGGCAAGGGGAGUUGACAAGAAUACCACCCAAAUGCAACGCAAGGCUAGUUGGCAAGAUUGGCGCCCAAACAAACAAAGAGCCGUAAUGAAAUGCACGAAGAGCCGUAAUGAAAAUGACCACACAAGGGAGAACUAGGAAAAAAGACAAGCGGGAUGACAGAUAAGAACCAAUUUUGGCUUCGAGGUAGAUAUUUUAAUACAGCCCGACCAAGGUUGGGUGACCAAGGGAAAGGCAAGGUGGCUCGACAAGAGGAGCACCCAAACACAAUGCAAGGAAAGCUGGAAACAUGGGCUCCCAAACGCAUGAAGAUCCAUAACAAAAAUGAGCACACAAGGGAGCACUAGGAAAAAAGACGAGCCGAAGGAUGGAUAAGUACCAUUUUUGGCUUGGAGGUAGAUUUUUUAAUACGGCAUGGCCAAGGUUGGGCGACUAAGGGAAAGGCAAGGCGAGUUGGCAAGAGGGGCGCCCAAACACAACGCAAGGCGAGUGGGCAAUAUGGGCACCCAAACACACGAAGAGCCGUAACGAAAACAACCACACAAGGGAGCACUAAGCAAAAAGACGAGCCGAAGGACGGAUAAGAACCAAUUUUAUAUUGGAGGUAGAUUUUUUAAUACAACAUGGCCAAGGUUGGGAGACCAAAGGAAGUCUACCUAAGUUGCUAUCGCGACGAGGGUGGGCAGUGGCGUGCCAAUUGGGCUAUGAACGUAGAAUGUCCCCUCGCGGGGGAUUUUCCCUAGGCGAUGAAUAGUCAACUCAGAACUGAUACAGACAAGGGGAAUCCAACUGUUUAAUUAAAACAAAGCAUUGCGAUGGUCCUUGCGGAUGCUGACGUAAUGUGAUUUCUGCCCAGUUCUCUGAAUGUCAAAGUGAAGAAAUUCAACCAAGCGCGGGUAAAUGAUGGGAGUAACUAUGACUCUAUUAAGGUAGCCAAAUGCCUCGUCAUCUAAUUAGUGAUGCGCAUGAAUGGAUUAAUGAGAUUCCCACUAUCCCUAUCUACUAUCUAGAAAAACCACAACCAAGGGAAUGGGCUUGGCAGAAACAGUGGGGAAAGAAGACCAUGUUGAGCUUGACUCUAGUCCGACUUUGUGAAAUGACUUGAGGGGUGUAGAAUAAGUGGGAGCCAUUUUUGGCGCAAGUGAAAUACCACUACUUUUAACGUUAUUUUACUUAUUCUGUGGGGCAGAGACAGGGCAUUGCCCCUGUUUUUGGCCUUAAGACAUGUUUCAAUGGGUCGAUCCAGGCGGAAGACAUUUUCAGGUGGGGAGUUUGGCUGGGGCGUCACAUCUGUUAAAAGAUAACGCAGGUGUCCUAAGACGAGCUCAACGAGAACAUAAAUCUCGUGUGGAACAAAAGGGUAAAAGCUAAUUUGAUUUUGAUUUUCAGUACGAAUACAAACCGUGAAAGUGUGGCCUAUCGAUCCUUUAGACUUUCAGAAUUUGAAGCUAGAGGUGUCAGAAAAGUUACCACAGGGAUAACUGGCUUGUGGCAACCAAGCGUUCAUAGCGACGUUGCGUUUUGAUCCUUCGAUUUCGACUCUUCCUAUCAUUGUGAAGCAAAAUUCACCAAGUGUUGGAUUGUUCACCCACCAAUAGCGAACGUGUGCUGGGUUUAGACCAUCAUGAGAUAGGUUAGUUUUACCCUACUGAUGAACCAUGUCACAAAAUUAAUUCACCUUAGUAUGAGAGGAACCGUUGAUUCACACAAUUGGUCAUCGCGCUUGGUUGAAAAGCCAGUGGCACAAAGCUACCGUGUGUCGGAAUAUGACUGAAUGCCUCUAAGUCAAAAUGCAUGCUAGAAGCAAUGCCUUUCACUCCUUGACUGUAUCUUGACCCACAGUAGGGGUGUCUCUUUGGCACCCCCAGAGGCCCGUGUCACUUGCGAACCUCAGCCGGGAAGCAUCUCGGUUGGGGCAGCUUUGAAGUUCAAUUUCAAACGGUCGUUGAGAAAAAUCCUUUGUAGAUGAAUUAAAUACAUGACGGGGUAUUGUAAGUGGUAGAGUGGCCUUGCUGCCACGAUCCACUGAGAUUCAGCCCUUUGUCACCUUGAUUCAGAGCCUAUGCUCAUC